rnacentral:rRNA from 1 species
ACGGGUGAGUAAUACAUCGGAACGUAUCCUGGAGUGGGGGAUAGCCCGGCGAAAGCCGGAUUAAUACCGCAUACGCUCUGAGGAGGAAAGCGGGGGACCUUCGGGCCUCGCGCUCAAGGGGCGGCCGAUGGCGGAUUAGGUAGUUGGUGGGGUAAAGGCCUACCAAGCCGACGAUCCGUAGCUGGUCUGAGAGGACGACCAGCCAAACUGGGACUGAGACACGGCCCAGACUCCUACGGGAGGCAGCAGUGGGGAAUUUUGGACAAUGGGGGCAACCCUGAUCCAGCAAUGCCGCGUGUGUGAAGAAGGCCUUCGGGUUGUAAAGCACUUUUGUCCGGAAAGAAAUCAUCGGGGCCAAUACCCCUGGUGGAUGACGGUACCGGAAGAAUAAGCACCGGCUAACUACGUGCCAGCAGCCGCGGUAAUACGUAGGGUGCGAGCGUUAAUCGGAAUUACUGGGCGUAAAGCGUGCGCAGGCGGUGCUGUAAGACCGAUGUGAAAUCCCCGGGCUUAACCUGGGAACUGCAUUGGUGACUGCAGCGCUGGAGUAUGGCAGAGGGGGGGUGGAAUUCCACGU